GCCUGCUUGGCUCAGUCAGUGGAGCAUGAGACUCUUGAUCUCAGGGUUGUAAGUUCAAACCCCACGGUGGGUG
rnacentral:tRNA from 1 species